CACCAGAGAAAGGCUGUUUCUUCUGAGAUACAUCAACUGAUAAGGAGAGCACAAACCAGUCUUCGUUCAUCACUCCUGCGAAAUAUUCUCACAAAUGAAGAGAUGAUGAUGGACCAAAUGAAAAUCAUUUUCACUACUUUCCAGGGAUUGAAAUCCGUAACUGAAGAAAAGAUAGGUGUUGAACCAAAUCUGCUGCCGCUAGCUGAUCGCUAGUCUCUUGAAAACCUGGAGGAGCAGCUAAGAAAUAGCUCUGACCCCAAAAACCAACUGCGGCUGUUUGAUGUAAUCAUCUUACUUCUGAUGUCACGAACCAAGAGAUCAAGACUAGGAUUACAAAAUGGCUUCAAAAUGCACCUGAUAGGAAUGGCGGGAGAAGCGAACGAAUGAGAAGAAAGGAGCAUGAGAGAAACUCUCAUGCGUGAUGCAUUUUUGACUCUUCAAAGUCUAUGCCAAGUUGUUUACAGAUGGUGCUGCUGUUUAAACAAAUAUGAAGAAAGGACAGUGACAUUGUUCCAAUGCAUAAUGCGUUUUUGACUCUUGAAAGUCUAUGACGAGUUUUAGUGUUGUUUACAAAUGUUUAAUGCUGCUUUCUGAACUCUGAAGAAAGGACAGUGACAUUGUUCCAUUGCAUAAUAAUGCAUUUUGACUCUUGCACUAUGUUCCAGACAUGUUUCAGGGUUUACAGUUUAAUGUUGUGUUUGGUUUAUUUAUUGUCUUUAAUUUCUAGAAUUUGAGUGAUGAUGCCAUA